UUUAUUUUAACUGAUGAUGGUACAUGAUAUACGGGGGUCUUCAGAUCCGUAUGGCGUACUUGCCCGGACAGCUCGAGUUCAAUCAUCGACCCCUCCUCCUGCGUUAUUCUUUUGUACUGCGACGGAGAGCUGGCGCCAAAAAUGAUCGCCCAUAUUAAGACGUCCACCCGAGACGUAGAUGAUACUUGGCCACCCAGCCGAUGAGGCAGCCAGCUGUCCACUGAUUGCCAGCAUGAUGAUCGUGCCAAAUGAAUUGGCUGUAUAGGCACACGUGCCGAGCGUGGCGCGCUCCUUGGGUAGCAUCCAUUUGGACAGGAUCGUGUGGACGGAUGGGAAGACCACGCCCUGGCACAGACCACACGCCACACGCAGAGCGCAAACCGCUUUCCAGUCUAAAAUUUACACGCGGAGGGGCGUGAGGAUAGUCAGCAGCGAACAGACGGGGAGGCCAGAAAGGAACAUUAUUUUGCCACGAAAUUUCUUGGCAUGUUGGCCAGCCGGCACCUGGGUGACCACAUAACCCAAGAAGAAACUGCUCAGCAACAGAGCUCUUGUCUUCUCCGCCCAGUCGUAUUCCUAUUAAUAGGAAUGCGAACCUAUCCUGUGGUUCGCAUGAAGUGAGGUUUACUUAUCGGAAAGUCGGGAUUCACGGAGGCCGAAUCUGUCAUGGCCACGACUGCCACAGAUAGAUUGACACGAAGGGCGUAGGUUACUGACAGGCCCCAGAAGAUCAGAACCACCUGCCAAUGACGCACUCUUCGGCCUGAAAUACAAAGGAUUCAAGAACUAACAGGUCGAUAGAGACCUAAUAAGUAUUUUAACCUCGCAUCUCAGAGCAAUAGAUAUGAACGUGAUCUGAUCAAUAAUGCAUGUAUGUAUGUCAAGGCCCACUGGAUGAUGUUGUGGCGGUCUCGUUCCCCCUACCGCUUUUGAGAAUCAAACCCUCUUGUGGUUUUCUUUUCACAUGCUGUAGCUGUAGUCUGAUACAGCACACAUAUAGUACAAUAUAAUUAUUAUUUUCGCCUCACUUUGUGAGUGCCCUUACAUAAUUAGUCACUAUAACUAAACCUAAGACGAGGGGAACGCGAAUACAGAGUACAGUAACGAAAAGUUUACAAAUAUACAAAAA
rnacentral:sRNA from 1 species